rnacentral:sRNA from 1 species
ACACGUACACACACACACACAUACACACACACACACGUACACAUACACACACAUCCUCCCAUGUUCAGUGUAAAUCGUCGUCAUCCUGGAACCAAUUAGUAAGGAUGUGUCUCAAUUUGUUCUGUGUUUAGGCCGCAGUGGCCCGCAGCUCAGCCUGCGCGGGGUGCAGAUAUGCGGUGCGCAUGAAAUUGAUGAGCUGAGAGCUGCCGCUGCGCUGUCGAAUGCACCAUCUGGAAUUCCAGUCUGGGCUUCUGCUGAAAGCUACUGACCCAGGAUUCAACUUUCUAACUCAU